rnacentral:lncRNA from 1 species
GUCUGGCUGGAGCUGGACCGGCUGGUGGCGCCAGGCAGUGCCAAGCACCCCUGGCAGCCCUGCAGAGGGUUCUCAAAUCCAGAUUUCAUUCUGCAGUCCCGGCAGUGUUUUGACGACUGCCUCACUAAAGGAAGCUAAAAGCUGUGCUGAUGCCUCCCAGACGAGCCUCGUUGGAAGCACAGAACCUUCACGGCUCGGAGCCGCUGACACCGUGACAAAGGGAGCCCUGCUCAGGUGAGACAAGGCUCGGGGGUUCAGAUGCUGGUCGUCUGGUACAGGUCUCUGCCGUGUGCAUGAGAACAAGUCCGUCUGCCAGGCUGGACGCUGCUAUCAGACAGAUUGAUUUGCCGAGUGUCUUUCAGCAUUUCCCUAAUUCCUUUUUGAAAAGCAAGAGCUAGGCUGAUCAUGCACCUGGGUCAUAAAGCCCACUCUAAAAUCAGGGAGAUGGCUUUAGAGAGGAUCCAGCCAAGGAGAAAACUAGGUCUGACUCUCGGAUGUGUCAGCAACUGCCCCGAGUCUGCUCAGUAGGUCCCCAGAGGUGAUUCCUCUCCAUAGUCUGUGAACUCAUCAUGGAAUGCUGGCAAUGGACUAUUCCACGGGGUCUGGAGUGCUGAGUUCUAGUUCAGAACCUGUCCUAGCGGCACCAGGAAGCCCUGUGGUGUUGGGCAAAUCACAUAACCUCUUGGUGUUUCUGUUCUUUAUUGAAAAAGAUGGUUAUGUAUUUGCCAUGACAGGUUCAAACUCCUUAGGGGUAAAAUUGUGCCCUAUUUACCUUUGUUUGCUGAGUCCUUGGCACAAGGCCUGGUGUUUGACACACCUAAAAAUUACCCAUGGACUCUGUGCUUUGGGACAGAAAAGGUGAUGACAAGAUGCAGGUGUAAACUUGGAAAGGCCAUGAGAUCUAGGUUAUAGUCUCAGUGAAGUCAGCUACCCAUUCAGAGCCCUGUAAAAUGAAUACAGCCAUGUUUUGUGUUGUGUGAUGACAUCAGUGCAGAUGUGAGCCAGACUUAGGCUCAUGGUGGGCACUUCAGCAGGUGCUAGCCCUGGUGGGCUUAGCUUUGUGUAUGUCAGACCCCAGUGACAGGUCUAAGGGUUGGAGAGGAGACCGGGAGUGAUGUCAGGCUCUGGGAUGAGGGCGUAUUUGGAACAGUAUGGCUGAAGCCCUGUCAUGAUGACCAAAUUGUUCUGAUGACUCUGAGCCAUUCCCCAGUUGGAGUCAAUCUCCAGGAUGACUGAUCCACUGGGCAGAGUCUGGUGUUAAGAGACAACACGGUGCUCGCAGUCAGGCAGAUGUUCUUGUUUCAAUACCAAACAGAUACAUCCAGAAGGCAAAUAGAAUGGUCUUAGCUUCCUGAUUAAAUCUCACUUGCCUCCCCCACUGCCUUGGGGGCCCUGUUCGAGCUUCCUCCUUUGCCUGACCGUGUUAAUAUUGGAGGACGUGAUCUCCAUUCUCUUGCUGCUAUAUUCCCUUCUGGCCUUAUUGUGGGAGAUGCCCUGCUUCAUUGCUUCCGUGACAACUAUUGCUUGUAUUUUUCUGCUUGCUUCCCGAUAUUUCUCAUCUUCAUGCCUCUGCUUAAGCUGGGCACCCUCUCCAGUGACCUGAAUGACUUGUAUUCAUUGUUUAAGGCUACGCUGCGCUCCCACUUCCUCCAAAACGCCUCCCCCUGAUCUUUUAGGUGUUUCUCUCCUUGUCCUGAAAAACACCCAGCAUUGUAUCUAUUACAUAAGAUUGUACUGCUAUUAUCUACACCCUGCCCCAUUCAUCUGUGCUCCUUGAAGGAAGGGACUGUGGUUUCACAUCCUGAUAUAUCCAGAGUCUAGUGCAAUGCCUGGCUCACAGGAUGGAGAACCUUGUCCAACUGUGGGGAGGAAGAAAGAAUAUCCAAUUUCUGGGAAGAUGACAAUUUCUGGGGGCUUCCAAGAGUUUCAUGGUCCUCAAGAAGACUGUGGCUCUGGUUGACAACAACAACCAGGAAACCAAAGUAGAAACCCAGAGCCCAGACACCAGCACUGGGGGUCUCAGGGAGGCUACAGCUCAAGGGCUGGGGGACAUGGGUGCUCUGGGCUCACUGUAGGGAGAGAGAUUCCCACAGUUGAAGGCACCCAGCUCCUCCAGGGCACCAGCCUUGGUUUGAGCUAUGCUGGAUGGGGCGGAGGCUGAACCUUGGUCUCACAAUGGAAUUAAGAUUGAAUGGUGGGGUGGACAGUGAGGUCAAACACUCAGUGAGGAUCAGUUGCAUUGUUAGACUAUUUAUUCCAGCAUUGAUUUGCUCCCAGAUGACAAUAUGUUGUUUUAGGAUUUGGGUAAUUUGCACAAAGAGGUUUUUAAGGCCCUGACUUCGUCCUGGUGUAGACAGUGAGGAGAUCUUCCUGGUGGAGCCUGGGUGCAUGCAUGCAGUGUUUCUAAUUAGUCAUGCAGCAGGACGAGGAGGACCACAGCCUCCAUGGUUCUUCCUGUUGGAUGUGACCAUCCUUUGAGCAGAGAUUGCUACAAAGGCAAAGCUGGAACAGCAUGGAUGCCUAACUGCGCCCAUGAGGCAGAGUCUUUGAGUUGUGACCGACACAUCUCACACUAGUUUAGGCAAGAGAGGAAAUGUAUCGGGUCAGGUGACCAGGAAGAUUAAACACAACUUUGACCCAGCUGGACCCAUGGGCUGAAUAAAGUCAACAAAUAUAAGUAUUGUUUUUUGUUCAUUUUUUCUCUACUUCUCAAGUUUGCUUUUUUUCUGAAUUUUCUUUCAUACAAGCAAACACUCUCCAUGGAUUGUCAGAGAGAACUCUGACAGUUCUCAUUAGUAACUCCAAUGAUAAAAGAGGACCCCUUUCCCUAGAGUUCUCGCAAAAUCCUCAGAUCCUUUGUUGGGCCUUGUUCGGCUCACAAACACAUCCCAAAUACAGCCCUGGGGUCUGGGGAUGCAGUGUUCUGAGAGGCCCAGCGUGGGUCAGUCCCUUCCCUGGCCCUGCCCCUGCCCCAUCCCCAUAUGAGAAGUGCAUGCAAUAAAGCUACAACUCAAGCUGGCAGGGCAAGAGGGGAGCUUAGAAAUUAUCUGGUUGACUUCCCUCAUUUUAGGUUUAUUAAUUUGGAAAAGGAGUAAUGCCAUGAAUAUUUUAUGUACUUACUGGUUACAAUUUAGAGAAUUAAAAUGAAAAUAAAAACCACGCAUAAUCCUCUAACGUUUAGAUGUACUUCUGAUCAUUUGAUAUUUUCCCCAAAUACUUUAAAAGUUAUCUACAUCAUUUGAAAUAUAUUAAUAUUUUGGAGCUCCGAAUUUACCUUAACCAUUUUUCCUUGUCAUUCACUUUUCAAAAUUAUUUAAUGACCUUCCUUAGCACGAAUAUAUUCAUUUAUCAAAAUUCAUUCAGCCAUUCCCCUAGUAUCAAUACCUUCUUUUUAGGGGUGAAGAAAUUGAGGUCUAGAGAAGGUAAGUGAUCUUCCAAGAUUGGCAGCAGAGCUAAGACAAUCUUGUUUAUACCUUAUUUAUCAAAGUUAAAUUACCUACCUAAGGUCCUUAUCUCUCUCUAUAUAUAGAUAGAUGUCUGGAAGACAUGGAAAAGUGAUUCCAUUCUUUUUUCUUUUUGGUGGCUUUAAAAAUUGGCAGAUAGGCCAGGCAUGGUGGUUCAUACCUGUAAUCCCAGCACCUUGGGUGGCCGAGGAGGGCGGGUCACCUGUGGUCAGGAGUUCGAGACCAGCCUGGUCAACACAGUGAAACUCCGUCUCUACUAAAAAUACAUAAAUUAACCUGGCAUGGUGGCAGGCACCUGUAAUCCCAGCUACUUGGGAGGCUGAGGCAGGAGAAUCGCUUGAACCUGAGAGGCGGAGGUUGUGGUGAGAGGUGGAGGUUGUGGUGAGAGGUGGAGGUUGUGAGCCAUUGCACUCUAGCGUGGGCAACAAGAGCAAGGCUCCAUCUCAAAAAAAAAAAUUUGUCAGAUAAGAAAGAGAGACGUAUUUGAUCUGAGUAAAACGCUCCUCCCAAAAUGAGGCCACCUGAAGCCCUGAUGAGAAGUUAUCCUCAGAGGAGGAGCCAGUGUAGCAGGUAGAAGUUGGGUUAGUUACCGGGGGGUGGGGGGAGGGCAUCAGCAAUGAGCUUUUCUACAUUGGCAAAGAUGGAGAGCAUAUUGACAAUGCACACUCUUCAUGAAGGGCCACAUGUAGGUGCUGCCUCUGCCUGUACAUUUUCAUCCAUUCCACAGAUACUGAUUGCUCCCCUACUCUCUGCCAGGCACAGUUCUAGGCACUGAAGAUAAGCAGAGAAAAGAUAGGAGCUGUGCUCCCAGGGAGCACUGCUAGGCAUGAAAGAUGGCACAGAAAAUUAGAUAAAGAAAUAAAUGAAGAAGACAAGAUGGAGACGGAUGUUAAUUCACAUGGUGAACAAUGAUGAGGACUGGAGAGUGUUGGAUUGGGACUAAGUUGUUGAAGUGGCUACUUAGGAGGUGAAGAUUGGGUUCAAUUGUGAAGGAGAAGAUGGGCCGGGAGAGAGAGCAUCGCGAGCCAGGGUGAGCUGGUUCAAAGGUCCUGGGUUAGGUGGUGCAGGGCUUGUUUGAGGAACAGAAGGAAGGCCAGCCUGUGUGGCCCAUGGCUGAGCCUAAGAGGAGGGUGUGGAGUCAGCCUAGACUGAGGCCAGGGACAGGCAGGGCCAGGUAAGGGCUUGGUAUUUCUUUCAAAGUGUUCCGGGAAGCUCUGGGGAGUUUUCCAGCUGGGUAGUGCCAUGCUCUCGUUUCUACUUGGGAAGAUCACACUGGCUUCUCUGAAAGUGCAGAUUUUAUGGAGCCAGGAAUGGCAGCAGUGAGACUGAUGAGGAGGUUAUCGUCAAGGUUCAGGCAGAACACCCUGGUGCCUUAUACUGGCUUGGAAAAAUCAGCUGGGAGGGGCUGCUUGGAGAUCAGGCCACAGGUCACAGCGGAACUGAAUGGGCCUGGUGUUGGGGUGGUGAGUGGUGGCCUGUUUAGGGAAAGCGGAAAAUUAAAGAGAAGCCUUACAAUUUUUUAAACAUAUGAGAAUUUAACACCCAAUCUGUUUUUCCUUCAUUUUUUACUUCAUUCAGGAGGAAAAGUAGACAAGAGGGAGAAAUUGAGAUUCAAAUAAUCCAACACUCAGGCAGAUUGCCUGCUAGCAUGCUUAUCUCUCAUCAGCACAGUGAGGGAGGGGCCUGUGUCACUUUACAGAUGAGGCAGAGGGUCCCGCAACUCCUUAAGGGUGGAACUAGGAUUGGAAACCACUCCUCCUGGCUCCUCUUUUCCUGCCAAGAGCGCUGCACCAGCUCUGGAGGAAGCCUCAGGAGAGGUUACACAAGUCUCAGCUGCCUGUGGUAUUUGAGUGGCCAUGGAGGAUGGAAUUUAUGCUGCUGGAAUAACUAGAGCCACUGCCCCUCAUCUGCAGAGAAGACACACUAUCUUGCAAUUGCAGAACUCCUGUGCCUCGCUUUCGAAAUUGGUCAUAAGCUGGAGGCUGAUGUUAUCUUUCCUCACCCUUCAGACCCAAGUUCCCCAACUCCUCUCACCGCCCCCAACCACCGCUUUAAUGACCGGUAAACAAGCAGCUAAAUGCACCAUGCACUGAGGGGCUCCAGCGAGGGGAGGAGGUGACUCUUCUGAAGAAGGGCUCCACCUGAGUUACUGAGUCAGCGAAAAGGCACCUUUAUCCAGGCCUAGAGCAAAACGCAAUCAGCCUUCACAGGACUGGUUUCCCAGCCAUGAGCUUGGGGGACAGGGCUGGCUGCAACGGGGGCUGCCAAGGGCCCAGGUUCUGUGCUGGAAACAAGAGCACUCUGGUGGACUCGGAAAUACAGCGCUGAGGUGGGUGGGCUUUAGUCGGAGCCACCUCCCCGACAUUCCUGCCCCAGGCUUCUCUCCCAGGCUUUCCUUCCUGGCCCUGCCAUUCUGCAUUCCUUACCAACCUGCUGUAUUCCCACUCUCGGCUGCCAGGAAGCCUCCUCUUCCCCCGAGCUUUACAGCGUUCAUUAUUUACCUUCCAGUUUGCACAGUUAUAUCACUGGAGUUUAAGCACACUUUCUAUGUGCAGAACAAACAUUCGCACAUGCCACAACGUACAGUGGGCUGUUUUGUGCCACGUGAUGUGCUACUGUAUGCAAAUUAAAGACGAAGUUAACAUUCCCUGUUGCUGGCUUUUCCAAGUGUGUGGGUAUCCAUUAUAGACUUCAAUUCUUUGUAAAUAUUUCAAAGGAAGAAACUCAAAGAGAUGAUAUGAAGGUUGUGAAAUUCCCCAUCAUAAAAUCAGAAACUGAUUAAACCUGGAACAUGCAAAGCCAAUAUUGAUUUCAGCAGCAAAACCAAAAUCAGGACAAGCAGACAAUAUUUUCAUAAUUAAAAAAGAAAAUGAGCUCAUGUGAAGAGAUGUUAUCAUCACUCGUAACUUGAAGAUGCUUUUGGAUACACUGCAAUAAUUCAGCUAACGUUAACAUAAAAAUGAAAGAAAUUUUUCCACAUCUGUAUUAUUAGCAAAUGAAUUAGGCAAUUAAUAAUUUGUUUGCUUUAAAAUGUCAUUUUCAUAAACACAAUUUAAGCAUUAUAUAUUUAUGACAAUAUCUUUCAUUUUAAAGUUAUUUUUACUUAGUGUUUAUUGUAUGUUAAUUCGCUCUCUUUCUGUUCCUUUUUUAUUGUCAAAAGUCCAUAUUAUGUAGAGAUAAUUUUUGCUAGCUAUUGUAAUAUAUAAUCUUGUUAGAAUAUAUUCGUCCAUAAUAACAAAUUAUACAUUUAUCAUAGUAUGUGUUUUACAAAAAAAUCUCCUUUAAUGUAACCCUAUUACAGAAAAAAAAAUUCAGUGUUUAUUAUUUUGGUCCAUUUUUAUUUUUGUUUUUCAAAAAGUGCUUUCACAAAUACAGAAUAACUAAUCUACUCAUACUCUAAAAUAAGGACUCUAGUACGGAUAACUGCAGAAGC